rnacentral:lncRNA from 1 species
CUGUAAUAUUAGUAAUUGGUACAUGUGUAAUUUCUUAUUGUACUGGAAUUGGUGUAACAGUUGGUACAUGUGUAGUUUCUCAUACUGGUAUUACUUUAGCAGUUGUAAUAGACACAUAUGACUGUAAUAAUAGGCACAUGUGCAUUUUCUCAUUUGCUGCAAAUAUUGUUAUUGACAAUGUGCAUUUUGUUAUUUGCUGUAACUAUUGUGUUUUUCUCAGGAACAUAUUACGAAAGAAGGCAACCAUUUUAACUGUAUAUACAUGCACAUGUAUAUAAAACAUCACAAAGUGCCUGUCUAUUUUAAUUUGUUCCUCCAUGUUGGUGCUAUUUCAUUUUCACUUGAGUUACAUAUUAUUUAUUUUCAUUACUCAUCUGAGCAUUUAAUGAUUGUUUGUACAAGAGCCUUUUUUGAUAUUUUGUGAAAUGUAUUUGUACCCAUGCUGAUCAAUGGAGAAAUGAAGGAGAAUUCAGACACAUGAUGUAUUAGAUUCUUGGAACUAAACAUAAGAAUAGAUAUAUAAUGUAAAUUGCUGUUGAUUCAUUUAUUUUCGUGGGUUCCAGAUUUUGUGGAUUUAGGGAAAUAGUAUAUUAGUGUUUAGUUGAUUUCUUGGUUUACCAAAGUCUGCAUACAAUCCUAUUGAUAGAUAAUUUGCACUUCACUGAACAUUCAAAUUUGUGAUUUAUCUUAACCCAUCAAAUCAACUUAAAUUGGUCACUGAUGAAUAUUAAUCAGCAUAGAUUAUAUUUAGGUAUUUAUAGACACUGCCAUUGUUUAUGCCUCUAUUUUCUCAGAGUAGACAGGUUUCAGUGGCAUUUGUGUGGUUUGUUGUACUAUCUAUUUUUUUUUUGGUUGUUAAUGUUAUCUUUAAUGCCUUAUUUUUUUUACCCUUGUCUGUUGUCAAAAUACAGUGGAUUCAUUUAUUUUCGUUGGUACACAUUUUCGUGGGUAACAAUUUUCAUGGAUUAAAGAAAACUUGCAUGUUCCUGGAUAUUUCAUUAAUUUGUUUUGAAGAAUUUUGCAUACAAGUGUACUGGAAAUUUGUCAUUCCCACAAAAUCCAUGAAAUUGAUAUCCAACAAAUCCAUGAAUCCACAGUACAUUCAUUUCUUGUCAAAAGGAAUACCAGGUACAUUCAUUUCUUGUCAAAAGGAAUACCAGGUACAUUCAUUUCUUGUCAAGGAAAGGAAUUCAUUGUCAGGAUACAGGUAUUCAUUUCUUGUCAAAAGGAAUACCAGGUAUAUGUAAGCCAUUUUGAUUGAAAAUGAAUACCACAAAGUAUCUGUAAUGUUAAGAAUACCUUUUUGUAUCUAAAAGAAACUAAUAAAAACCGUUGCAUACUGAUUUAGUCAAAAUUAUAUACAUUUGCACAUUAGCCUCAAAUUGGAAC